rnacentral:rRNA from 2 species
GCCGGUGACAACAGUGCUGGGGUCCCACCCGUUCCCAUUCCGAACACGGCCGUUAAGCCCAGCACGCCGAUGAUACUGCAACCGCGGGAAAGUAGGUCAUUGCCGGCU